rnacentral:rRNA from 1 species
AUUGAACGCUGGCGGCAUGCCUUACACAUGCAAGUCGAACGGUAACAGGUCUUCGGAUGCUGACGAGUGGCGAACGGGUGAGUAAUAUAUCGGAACGUGCCCAGUCGUGGGGGAUAACGCAGCGAAAGCUGUGCUAAUACCGCAUACGAUCUACGGAUGAAAGCAGGGGACCGCAAGGCCUUGCGCGGACGGAGCGGCCGAUGGCAGAUUAGGUAGUUGGUGGGAUAAAAGCUUACCAAGCCGACGAUCUGUAGCUGGUCUGAGAGGACGACCAGCCACACUGGGACUGAGACACGGCCCAGACUCCUACGGGAGGCAGCAGUGGGGAAUUUUGGACAAUGGGCGCAAGCCUGAUCCAGCCAUGCCGCGUGCAGGAUGAAGGCCUUCGGGUUGUAAACUGCUUUUGUACGGAACGAAAGACUCUUUCUAAUAAAGAGGGUCCAUGACGGUACCGUAAGAAUAAGCACCGGCUAACUACGUGCCAGCAGCCGAC